UACGUAGGGGGCUAGCGUUGUCCGGAUUUAUUGGGCGUAAAGAGCGUGUAGGCGGUCAGAUAGGUCCGUUGUGAAAACUCGAGGCUCAACCUCGAGACGCCGAUGGAAACCAUCUGACUAGAGUCCGGAAGAGGAGAGUGGAAUUCCUGGUGUAGCGGUGAAAUGCGCAGAUAUCAGGAAGAACACCCGUGGCUAAGGCGGCUCUCUAGUACGGUACUGACGCUGAGACGCGAAAGCGUGGGGAGCGAACAGG
rnacentral:rRNA from 1 species